rnacentral:misc_RNA from 1 species
GUAGGUGGACCUGCGGAGGGAUCAUUCACGUGAUUACCUUUUCUCAACAAACUGUGAACUUUAUUUUACUAUUCGUGUGUUUGUUUAUUUGAUUUAUCAUUUAUCACAAAUCACACUGUCAUUCGAUGAACAUUAGAUAGUUGGCUUGUUUGAUUUUAUCAACUUUCUCAGCUGAUUGUUUGUAUCGACUAAACAUCUUACAACAAUCACCAUAAAACAUAGAAAUAACUCUAUGCCCUGGAUAUCUUGGUUCUC